rnacentral:rRNA from 1 species
AGUACCGUGAGGGAAAGGUGAAAAGCACCCCGGAAGGGGAGUGAAAGAGAUCCUGAAACCGUGUGCCUACAAAUAGUCAGAGCCCGUUAACGGGUGAUGGCGUGCCUUUUGUAGAAUGAACCGGCGAGUUACGAUCCCGUGCGAGGUUAAGCUGAAGAGGCGGAGCCGCAGCGAAAGCGAGUCUGAAUAGGGCGUUUAGUACGUGGUCGUAGACCCGAAACCAGGUGAUCUACCCAUGUCCAGGGUGAAGUUCAGGUAACACUGAAUGGAGGCCCGAACCCACGCACGUUGAAAAGUGCGGGGAUGAGGUGUGGGUAGCGGAGAAAUUCCAAUCGAACCUGGAGAUAGCUGGUUCUCCCCGAAAUAGCUUUAGGGCUAGCCUUAAGUGUAAGAGUCUUGGAGGUAGAGCACUGAUUGGACUAGGGGUCCUCAUCGGAUUACCGAAUUCAGUCAAACUCCGAAUGCCAAUGACUUAUCCUUAGGAGUCAGACUGCGAGUGAUAAGAUCCGUAGUCAAAAGGGAAACAGCCCAGACCGCCAGCUAAGGUCCCAAAGUGUGUAUUAAGUGGAAAAGGAUGUGGAGUUGCUUAGACAACUAGGAUGUUGGCUUAGAAGCAGCCACCAUUUAAAGAGUGCGUAAUAGCUCACUAGUCGAGUGACUCUGCGCCGAAAAUGUACCGGGGCUAAAUACACCACCGAAGCUGCGGAUUGAUACCGAAUGGUAUCAGUGGUAGGGGAGCGUUCUAAGGACAGUGAAGUCAGACCGUAAGGACUGGUGGAGUGCUUAGAAGUGAGAAUGCCGGUAUGAGUAGCGAAAGACGGGUGAGAAUCCCGUCCACCGAAUGCCUAAGGUUUCCUGAGGAAGGCUCGUCCGCUCAGGGUUAGUCAGGACCUAAGCCGAGGCCGACAGGCGUAGGCGAUGGACAACAGGUUGAUAUUCCUGUACCACCUCUUUAUCGUUUGAGCAAUGGAGGGACGCAGAAGGAUAGAAGAAGCGUGCGAUUGGUUGUGCACGUCCAAGCAGUUAGGCUGAUAAGUAGGCAAAUCCGCUUAUCGUGAAGGCUGAGCUGUGAUGGGGAAGCUCCUUAUGGAGCGAAGUCUUUGAUUCCCCGCUGCCAAGAAAAGCUUCUAGCGAGAUAAAAGGUGCCUGUACCGCAAACCGACACAGGUAGGCGAGGAGAGAAUCCUAAGGUGUGCGAGAGAACUCUGGUUAAGGAACUCGGCAAAAUGACCCCGUAACUUCGGGAGAAGGGGUGCUUUCUUAACGGAAAGCCGCAGUGAAUAGGCCCAAGCGACUGUUUAGCAAAAACACAGCUCUCUGCGAAGCCGUAAGGCGAAGUAUAGGGGGUGACACCUGCCCGGUGCUGGAAGGUUAAGGAGAGGGGUUAGCGUAAGCGAAGCUCUGAACUGAAGCCCCAGUAAACGGCGGCCGUAACUAUAACGGUCCUAAGGUAGCGAAAUUCCUUGUCGGGUAAGUUCCGACCCGCACGAAAGGUGUAACGAUUUGGGCACUGUCUCAACCAGAGACUCGGUGAAAUUAUAGUACCUGUGAAGAUGCAGGUUACCCGCGACAGGACGGAAAGACCCCGUGGAGCUUUACUGUAGCCUGAUAUUGAAUUUUGGUACAGUUUGUACAGGAUAGGCGGGAGCCAUUGAAACCGGAGCGCUAGCUUCGGUGGAGGCGCUGGUGGGAUACCGCCCUGACUGUAUUGAAAUUCUAACCUACGGGUCUUAUCGACCCGGGAGACAGUGUCAGGUGGGCAGUUUGACUGGGGCGGUCGCCUCCUAAAGUGUAACGGAGGCGCCCAAAGGUUCCCUCAGAAUGGUUGGAAAUCAUUCGUAGAGUGCAAAGGCAUAAGGGAGCUUGACUGCGAGACCUACAAGUCGAGCAGGGACGAAAGUCGGGCUUAGUGAUCCGGUGGUUCCGCAUGGAAGGGCCAUCGCUCAACGGAUAAAAGCUACCCCGGGGAUAACAGGCUUAUCUCCCCCAAGAGUCCACAUCGACGGGGAGGUUUGGCACCUCGAUGUCGGCUCAUCGCAUCCUGGGGCUGUAGUCGGUCCCAAGGGUUGGGCUGUUCGCCCAUUAAAGCGGUACGCGAGCUGGGUUCAGAACGUCGUGAGACAGUUCGGUCCCUAUCCGUCGUGGGCGUAGGAAAUUUGAGAGGAGCUGUCCUUAGUACGAGAGGACCGGGAUGGACGCACCGCUGGUGUACCAGUUGUUCUGCCAAGGGCAUAGCUGGGUAGCUAUGUGCGGAAGGGAUAAGUGCUGAAAGCAUCUAAGCAUGAAGCCCCCCUCAAGAUGAGAUUUCCCAUAGCGUAAGCUAGUAAGAUCCCUGAAAGAUGAUCAGGUUGAUAGGUUCGAGGUGGAAGCAUGGUGACAUGUGGAGCUGACGAAUACUAAUAGAU